AACGAACGCUGGCGGCAUGCCUAACACAUGCAAGUCGAACGAGACCUUCGGGUCUAGUGGCGCACGGGUGCGUAACGCGUGGGAAUCUGCCCUUGGGUUCGGAAUAACUCGCCGAAAGGCGUGCUAAUACCGGAUGAUGACGUAAGUCCAAAGAUUUAUCGCCCAAGGAUGAGCCCGCGUUGGAUUAGCUAGUUGGUGAGGUAAAGGCUCACCAAGGCGACGAUCCAUAGCUGGUCUGAGAGGAUGAUCAGCCACACUGGGACUGAGACACGGCCCAGACUCCUACGGGAGGCAGCAGUGGGGAAUAUUGGACAAUGGGCGAAAGCCUGAUCUAGCAAUGCCGCGUGAGUGAUGAAGGCCUUAGGGUUGUAAAGCUCUUUUACCCGGGAUGAUAAUGACCGUACCGGGAGAAUAAGCUCCGGCUAACUCCGUG
rnacentral:rRNA from 1 species